rnacentral:lncRNA from 1 species
ACUCUUCUCUCUCUCUCUCUCUCUCUCUCUCUCUCUCUCUCUCUCUCUCUCUCUCUCUCUCUCUCUCUCUCUCUCUCUCUCUCUCUCUCUCAUAUCCCUCUGGUCUAGGUUGUCUCUCUCCAAUCGCUCUUCAUCGCCGGCAUCGGCGUCGACGUCGUCAUCAAUGACGAAGACAACAUCGACAAUGACGACUCCGGCGCCGUCGUCAUCGACUGCAUCCACCUCAAACGUCAUCGACGACUAGAUCCACUCCAUAUCCGGCUCGUCGACAUGACCAUGCCGCCGACGAUAGACCGCUUCGCCGCCACUCUGCCAAUCGGCGAGAUCUGUACGCAUCCCAAUCUCCUUCGUGCUUAAAGUAAUUGCAGCGGCUUUGCAAGGAAAGAUUCGUCAUGGAGCCUCAGUUUCCGAUUCGUUGUUUCGAUUCCAAAUCGAGGAACAUCCUCUUGCUUUGAUCUCUGCUCAGAAAUCUGAAAGCAACAACUCUCACUGUAACUCGUCGGCAAUGUAGGCUGUGCUGAUGCAGACGGAGGACAAAUCUGAGCCGAUAAAACCUUCGUCGGCGGCCGUCGCCGGAGUGAGGAGUCGUCGGUGAUGCAAAAAAGCUGCCGCUUAGCAGGAUUGUCCAUUUUCGUAAUUUGAGUUAUUGAUUUCGAGUUUGUGUAGUGUGGUGUAGGGGUGGACUCGGUCCCAACGGUUCGGUUUUCAAGCACUAACUGAAAACCAAAACUGAAGCUUCGGUUUUCUAUUUUCUAGAACCGAAACCGAUAAAAAUAUAUAAAAGACCGCACUCGUCGGUUAACCUAACAUCGGUUCGGUUUCGGUGCAGUUUCGGUUAUAAAAACUAUUAUCCGUAAUAUUUUUUACACUUAACCAAAUAACAUAAAAAAUAAAAAUAUCAAACUUGUAAACUAUCAACACUUCAAAUAAGUUAAUCUAAUGGGUUGAAAUAAGUCAUCCAAAUGAAAAAGGAAGCUAAAAUUUAUAUAUAAUUCAUUUGAAGCAUCCAACAUUCAUAUAUAACAAAAGAUAAAACUAUAUGGGAAAGAUUUCGGUUAGACUUAAACACUUAAAGACAUAAUCAUGUGUGUGAAAAUCUACUAUUUGUAACUCAUAACCAAUAAGAACAUGACAUGUAAUAUAGAAUUAAGUAUUAAUAAUUAAUAUAUGUCGGUUCGGUUUAAUCGGUUUUUAGGAUGGAACAGCAAACCGACACUGCACUACUCGGUUUGUGUGAUUUCCUGAACCGAUUGUACGUCUCGGUUCUAUUCGGUUUCAAUUACUCAAUGUCGGUUCGGUGUAGUUUUAACCGGUUUCGGUUUGUUCGGUACCUAAAAGUCCACCCCUAGUGUGGUGGUCACUCAGUUUUGAUAUUUGAUUGGAUUUUUCGUAUCAUUGCUUUUUUAUUAGGGUGGCAAUCUCUUUUGAGUGGCUUGAUUAUAUAGGUAUGAUGCAAUUAUUAGUUUAGACGAUUAUGUAGGGUUAAUAAACAACUUUUUGGAGGUUAUAGAAAAAUUAUUAACUAAUGAAAUCUAUUGACCUAAAAAAAAAAAUAUGGGUAAAACAUAACGGCAAAUACUUGUGUGCCUUAAGGUAUGGAUACCUUAACCACAUGGUUGCUUAUGAUUGGUCCAACUAGAUUAAUGAUGACCUGCUACCUGUUUGACUGGUCAUCCAAUUUAAAUCUCAAACUAACUCUCACUCUCUCACUAACGGGGUUA